UGAGGAAUAUUCCACAAUGGGCGAAAGCCUGAUGGAGCGACGCCGCGUGCGGGAUGAAGCCCUUUGGGGUGUAAACCGCUUUUUUGGGGGAUGAUACGCCAGCUUAGUAGGCUGGCUAAGACAGUACCCCAAGAAUAAGCAUCGGCUAACUACGUGCCAGCAGCCGCGGUAAUACGUAGGAUGCAAGCGUUGUCCGGAUUUACUGGGCGUAAAGCGCGCGCAGGCGGCAUGGUAAGUAAGGUGUGAAAUCUCUCGGCUCAACCGGGAGGGUGCAUUUUAGACUGCCAAGCUUGAGGUCGGUAGAGGGGGGUGGAAUUGCUGGUGUAGCGGUGAAAUGCGUAGAGAUCAGCAGGAACACCCGUGGCGAAGGCGGCCCCCUGGGCCGUACCUGACGCUGAGGCGCGAAGGCUAGGGGAGCGAACGGGAUUAGAUACCCCCGUAGUCC
rnacentral:rRNA from 1 species